UAUGCUGUGAUAUGCUGUGCUGUGCUGUGAUAUGCUGUGAUAUGCUGUGAUAUGCUGUGAUAUGCUGUGCUGUGCUGUGAUAUGAUGUGCUGUGCUGUGAUAUGAUAUGAUGUGAUGUGAUGUGCUGCAAGCUCAGCACAGAGCCAGUGCCCCUGAGCCAAUUGAGAUGGCUUCAGACAUCUGAUCAGGAUGCCUUCUGGGCGCCUGGGUAUCUCUUAGGAGAUGGUAAACAUUGCUGGGGAGAGCCCUGCUUGUUCUGCUGCUACCACGACCCGGCCCUAGUUAAGGGUAAGAAAACUGAUGUAUUGAUGGAUGCUGUGCUGUGCUGUUAUGCAAUGUGUCUCCAAUGUGUUUCUUUCAAGCUCCUCUCUGGCAGAUGAGAAAAGAAAUUUUGGACAACAGCCCAGUGAAAAAAUAGUAAUGGUAAAAAAUAGUUACAGGCUACUGUAAUUAGAGUCCUGUGUAAUUGUCCUCAAUACCAGGGGGUAACAAAAUAAAGGAGGUAAGUAAGAUGAAUCUUCCAUGUAGCUCAUCAUAGUGGAAUAUGGGAUGGGUUCAUCCAUUUGGUAAGAGCAUCACCAUGACAUGACAUCGCAACAUAAUUGCCCUAUGAUACAGCUGGAAUAUUAAAAGGUGAGUUUGAUACAGAAUUAAUGCUUUUAUAUUGUUUAUGCUCUUGGUCUAGUACACCAUGAAUGAAAAUUUGAUUUAAUUAUGUUUGAUUGUUUUCUCUGAAGGACUUCAGAAUCUAAUACGAAAAGAAGACGCCUGAGGACCUCAAUAGGACACACAAGAUGCUGCACAGUCCUGGGAUAACAACACAGAUGAGUCAAACGAAGAUGAGGGAACAGUUCCAAGACGAGUGGCAGGAGUCCAGCCAUGCAGACAUGCCUGUCACAUUAUGCUUUUAAACAAAUGUGAGCAUAAAGCUGCCAGAGGACCUGACUAAACACUCCAUUCAAAGAGGCUGGGGAUGGGCAACACUCGGGGCAGUGCCACUGACGCAGAAGAACAUUUCUACAAUAUUUAGCACGAUCAAAAAGAGUGCCUCAAAUAAAAAGUCAAAAUACGAAAAAUA